GACUUGAACGGUCCAAAUCGCUCGAUAUGGAUACAAGUAAGACGAGUAGUUGCAGCAUGAGCUUGACUUGCUGGGACCCGAUCCUUAUAUAUAUGAAUAAGUCGGGGUGAGUACAGCUUUAAAUUAAUCCCGCAGACUCCCGAACUUGGAUUAUUAAGUAAAAGUCCAGCAAGUAUUGGAUUAAGAAAGCUGUAUAGAGGAUCAUUUAUCAUAUAUGUAUUGAUGUGAUACACUGAGUGUGUGAGUAAUUCUAAAUUAAUUUCUCGUGUGAAUAUUUGAUCAAUUAUUGUUAUAUGUGAUAAAUGCGCAUUUAUCUAAACUCUCUGAAUCGAACUCUCAUUCCUAUUUAAAUAUUUUUUUCAGGUUGCAGGAGGAGCGAGUUUAUUUCUUCGAGUCUACCCUACAUUUUCCGUCGCAGAUUGUGCUUCUUGGUUUAAUUGUUUAUU
rnacentral:misc_RNA from 1 species